GUGUCAGGAAGAGGAAGAGCGAGGGUGUAGCAGGGAAAGUACUGGUCUGUGCUGCGUGUGGGAAGUGACUUUAGUGGCGGCGUGAAGGCGAGGACACGAGUGAGGUGCUGGCAGGCUGACUGAGGGUGAGCACUGCCCUGAGUGACAAUGAUGGAUGAAGAUUCAGUGGCUGGUAAUGAUGAUGUCCUCUGCCGCUCUCUUACCUCAUAAAACUAUUACAUUUCUUGGAACGUCAUUGUACGACAGAGUAGCCAGCUAAACAGCCGAGCCCUCAGCGUGCGCCUCCCGCCGGACAAGGGACCCUGCAUCCAACACUACCUCAUUGAGAUCCACAACGAAGGCUCCUCCUACUCACUCCAAGCUUCUGAAAACCGCUUCGACACCCUUCCUUCGCUCAUCACCUAUUAUUCUCAGUGCUGCGAAGAGUUGCUGGCUCAGCUCAAGCUUCCUCGCACCGUCCAGGAGGCCAAGACCCGCCAUGAACUCGGCUCUCUCUCGCUGCUCGGACAAGGUGGUGCAUCACAGCGUCAGACUCACAGAGGAUGUGUAGCCGAGGCAAUGACACGUGGACGGCGCUGAUGGCGGCCAGAACCUCUUGGGCGUCUUGGUCACACACGGCCAGGCUGAGCACCCCCAGGUCCCGCCACUCCUGCAGCAGCUGUGUGCCGGCACCACUUAAGUGACCCAUGAACCUCUCAAGAAACAGUUGGCCAAAAUAAUAAUGGCAGAAGUAAGACUAAGCUUUGAAGAAAGAACAUGUCAUAAAGUGUUACUGGAGGCACGAAAAUGUCAAAAGUGCAAAGACAAUUCAGAAGACACUUUGACAGGGAUCCACCAAGGUGACGCGCCAUUGCUCGCAUCACAGCUAAAUUUGCAUCAACAACCACCACCACCACCACCACCACCACCAGCAUGGCAGUAGUAGCAGGAGUAGUGAAUGGUCACACGUAUGUGGUGACUUCUUGGACUAUCAGGCUGCCCUUGUAGUGUGUUGGACUAUCGGUCAACAAGGAGACCUGAAAGUUACGUGGUACAACUAUUUUGGUGAUAGUAGUGGCUGUAAGUAGUAGUAGUAGUUGUAGUAAUAGUAUUAGUAAUAGUAGUUAUGCGUGUAAUGUCAAUAUGGUCCAUUUUGUAACUGUAAUUGCAAAGAUUCUCGACUUUGUUUCUUAAAGGCGUGACGUAAUUAGAGAAAACGUAUAUAUUUUAAGGGACACUAGACUGUACUUCGUUAUUCCUGUUUAUUGCUAUUAUACGAGUUUUUUAUAGUUUCACUUGUAUAUACUAUUUAAAUCUACUAUUCUGUGAUGUUUAAUACUACUAAUUAUUAUGUUUAAGUGAGAGAAGUCAGAGAAAGAGCUAUAUUUAUAAUUUUUACGUGUAAGUAAAUUUGUAGGAUGCUCGACCUUAUGUUUCUUAAAUAAGUGACGUAAUUAGAGAAAACGUAUGUCUUUUAAGGGAGGUUUUAGUAUGUCUUCUAUAUAUGUGUGUCUUCAUUAUCACCAUCAUCUUAUUCUUGUUCUUGUUCUUUUUGUUCUUGUUCUUAUUCUUGUUCUUGUUGUUCUUCUUAAUAUUAUUAUUAUUAUCAUUAUUAUUAUUAUUGUUAUUAUUAUUAUUAUUAUUAUUAUUAUUAUUAUUAUUA